UGGUUACAACCCCAAGCCUGUCAGUGUACAAGAAGCAAUUGGGAAAUGCUCUUAGACAUGUGUUUUAUCUUUUAUGUUUCCCUUUUUGAAGUUAGAAGAUGGACAUGCUUAUCCUUGUGGGUCUCUUCCAGCACAGGAUAUUCUGUGGUUCUGUGAUCCUGGUACAAAGAAUUUUGGAAAAUGGAGAGAAGAGUAAAGAGAGCUGUUAACCUACUGGUUAUCUGGAAACCAUGCCACCUUAAUCCUUUUAAUUGAUUCUGUAUUUUUAAUCCUUUUUUGAUUCUGAAUUCCUA